rnacentral:rRNA from 1 species
AUCAACUUUCGAUGGUAGGAUAGAGGCCUACCAUGGUGGUAACGGGUAACGGGGUGUUAGGGCACGACACCGGAGAGGGAGCCUGAGAAACGGCUACCACAUCCAAGGAUGGCAGCAGGCGCGCAAAUUACCCAAUCCCGACACGGGGAGGUAGUGACAAUAAAUAACAAUACGGGGUCCUUAAGGGUCUCGUAAUUGGAAUGAGUACAAUUUAAAUCUCUUAACGAGGAACAAUUGGAGGGCAAGUCUGGUGCCAGCAGCCGCGGUAAUUCCAGCUCCAAUAGCGUAUAUUAAAGUUGUUGCAGUUAAAAAGCUCGUAGUUGAAUUUCGAGAUCAGUACGCUGGUCGUGCCUUCGGUAUGCACUGGUGUCACUGGUUUCUCCCUUCUGAAGAACCGUCAUGCCAUUCAGUUGGUGUGGCGGGGAAUCAGGACUGUUACUUUGAAAAAAUUAGAGUGUUUAAAGCAGGCUCGCGCUUGAAUACAUUAGCAUGGAAUAAUGAAAUAGGACGUUUGACCCUAUUUUGUUGGUUUCUAGGAUCGACGUAAUGAUUAAUAGGGAUAGUUGGGGGCAUUAGUAUUCAAUUGUCAGAGGUGAAAUUCUUGGAUUUAUUGAAGACUAACUACUGCGAAAGCAUUUGCCAAGGAUGUUUUCAUUAAUCAAGAACGAAAAUUAGGGGAUCGAAGACGAUCAGAUACCGUCGUAGUCUUAACCAUAAACUAUGCCGACUAGGGAUCGGAUGAUGUUAAUUUUUUAAUGACUCAUUCGGCGCCUUACGGGAAACCAAAGUGUUUGGGUUC